UGUGUAGUUAUAUCUUUCUCAAAGAUUAAGCCAUGCAUGUCUAAGUUCAAGCGAAAAUAAAGUGAAACCGCGAAUGGCUCAUUACAUCAGUUAUGGUUCCUUAGAUCGCACUUACUACUUGGAUAACUGUGGUAAUUCUAGAGCUAAUACAUGCGCUGAGCCCCAACCCUCGUGGAAGGGGCGCUUUUAUUAGAUCAAAGCCAAUCGAGUUUCGGCUCGUUUCGUUGGUGACUCAGAAUAACUUUGCUGAUCGCAUGGUCUCGUACCGGCGACGUAUCUUUCAAGUGUCUGCCAUAUCAACUUCGAUGUAGUAGGACCCACCAUGGUUGCAACGGGUAACGGGGAAU
rnacentral:rRNA from 1 species